rnacentral:ribozyme from 14 species
UCAAUAUACAAAUCCGCCAUGAAGGAAAAAAAAAAAAAAAAAAAAGAAAGAU